CAGGGGAAGGGGCAGAGAGGUGCAAGUGGUGGGGCAGGCUGGUCUUAGGGGACGGGGCAGAAAGAUGUUGGCAGGGUGAGUCUCAGGGGAAGGACAGAGA